CACGACUCUCCUAAACCCUAAAAUUCGCGAAAAUCGAUCUUAAAUUGGAGGUCUGAUUUUGUUCAUCCUCACUUCGAAUUCGGCCAUCUUCGUUCCAUCUCAGGUCGAUUCCUUUCAUAAAUAAGUUGUUUGGGGUGGUCGAAGUACAGAAGAAUCGAAGCCACGCCGGCGACGGGGAUGGGUAGCAACGCGCCACCGCGGUGGAGGCUGCACAAGGCCAGCUGCAGUGAUGGCGACGGAAGAUCGUUGCCAGUUGAGACCACGUGAAUUGAACAGGAUCUAGAAGAGGACGGAGGCUGGACGUGAGCUUCCCCGGCGGCUGCAUCUGAUCGUGAGGGCGGGCGAGAAAGAGAAAUGAAAGAGAGAUGGGAACAGAGUUGUAGGCAGCGGCGUGAGACAGCGGAGUCAGGGACGCCGGCGAUGGCGCUGAACCCGCCGUGAAUUCGGCGGAGACAACAGCGCUGCGCGCGGCUGUGCAGUGUGCAGAGAGAAAUGGGGAAGAGAUGUGGAGAUGUUUAUGUCUUUUGUUUAAGUUGUCAUUUAUUAAGAAAGAAAUUGUGAGUGUAUGUAGCAUUUUGCCAAAUAGGAUUAAGUAAUCACUUUAA